GGCUCUUUAGCUCAGUGGUAGAGCGUUGGUCUCGUAUUAAGAGUUGGAAAAAAUGUGGAAAGUGUAUGGAAUCAUGUAGCAAUCCAAAGGCCGAGAGUUCAAUCCUCUCAGGAGGCA
rnacentral:tRNA from 1 species